rnacentral:rRNA from 1 species
GACAGAGGGUGCAAACGUUGUUCGGAAUUACUGGGCGUAAAGCGUGUGUAGGCGGUCUCAUAAGUCGGGGGUGAAAGCCCAGGGCUCAACCCUGGAAGUGCACUCGAAACUGCGAGGCUUGAGUACCGGAGAGGUUGGUGGAAUUCUCGGUGUAGAGGUGAAAUUCGUAGAUAUCGAGAGGAACACCGGUGGCGAAGGCGGCCAACUGGACGAGUACUGACGCUGAGACACGAAAGCGUGGGGAGCAAACAGG